rnacentral:lncRNA from 1 species
CCAAGCCCAGUGUGUGUGGCCCUUCCAAGCCCGGUGUGUGUUGCCUUUCAAGCCAGUGUGUGUUGGCCCGUUUCAAGCCCAGUGUGUGUUGGCCCGUUCCAAGCCCAGUGUGUGUUGGCCCGUUUCAAGCCCAGUGUGUGUUGGCCCGUUUCAAGCCCAGUGUGUGUUGGCCCGUUCAAGCCCAGUGUGUGUUGGGCCGUUUUCAAGCCAGUGUGGUUGCCCGUUUCAAGCCCAGUGUGUGUUGGCCCGUUUUCAGCCCGUGUGUGUUGGCCCGUUUCAAGCCCAGUGUGUGUUGGCCCGUUUCAAGCCCAGUGUGUGUGUUGGCCCGUUUCAAGCCCAGUGUGUGUUGGCCCGUUUCAAGCCCAGUGUGUGUUGGCCCGUUUCAAGCCCAAGUGUGUGUUGGCCACGUUUUUCACGCCCGUGUGUGUUGGCCCCGUUUCAAAAGCCCAGGGUGUGUUGGCCCGUUCCAAGCCCAGUGUGUUUGGCCCGUUUCCGCCCAGUGUGUGUUGGCCCGUUCCAAGCCCAGUGUGUGUUGGCCCGUUUCAAGCCCAGUGGUGUGUGUGGUUGGCCCGUUCCAAGCCCAGUGUUGUU